rnacentral:rRNA from 1 species
UCGGGAAUAUUGGACAAUGGGCGCAAGCCUGAUCCAGCCAUGCCGCGUGAGUGACGAAGGCCUUAGGGUUGUAAAACUCUUUCGUCGGGGACGAUAAUGACGGUACCCGAAGAAGAAGCUCCGGCUAACUUCGUGCCAGCAGCCGCGGUAAUACGAAGGGAGCUAGCGUUGUUCGGAAUCACUGGGCGUAAAGCGCACGUAGGCGGAUAGUUAAGUCAGGGGUGAAAUCCUGGGGCUCAACCCCAGAACUGCCUUUGAUACUGGCUGUCUCGAGGUCGAGAGAGGUUGGUGGAAUUCCUAGUGUAGAGGUGAAAUUCGUAGAUAUUAGGAAGAACACCAGUGGCGAAGGCGGCCAACUGGCUCGAUACUGACGCUGAGGUGCGAAAGCGUGGGGAGCAAACAGGAUUAGAUACCCGCGUAGUCCCUGAGCGGGCUGGCAAGGCG